rnacentral:rRNA from 1 species
GCUUUUUCUUUCACCGGAGCUUGCUCCACCGAAAGAAAAGGAGUGGCGAACGGGUGAGUAACACGUGGGUAACCUGCCCAUCAGAAGGGGAUAACACUUGGAAACAGGUGCUAAUACCGUAUAACAAUCGAAACCGCAUGGUUUCGGUUUGAAAGGCGCUUUUGCGUCACUGAUGGAUGGACCCGCGGUGCAUUAGCUAGUUGGUGAGGUAACGGCUCACCAAGGCAACGAUGCAUAGCCGACCUGAGAGGGUGAUCGGCCACAUUGGGACUGAGACACGGCCCAAACUCCUACGGGAGGCAGCAGUAGGGAAUCUUCGGCAAUGGACGGAAGUCUGACCGAGCAACGCCGCGUGAGUGAAGAAGGUUUUCGGACCGUAAAACUCUGUUGUUAGAGAAGAACAAGGAUGAGAGUAGAAUGUUCAUCCCUUGACGGUAUCUAACCAGAAAGCCACGGCUAACUACGUGCCAGCAGCCGCGGUAAUACGUAGGUGGCAAGCGUUGUCCGGAUUUAUUGGGCGUAAAGCGAGCGCAGGCGGUUUCUUAAGUCUGAUGUGAAAGCCCCCGGCUCAACCGGGGAGGGUCAUUGGAAACUGGGAAACUUGAGUGCAGAAGAGGAGAGUGGAAUUCCAUGUGUAGCGGUGAAAUGCGUAGAUAUAUGGAGGAACACCAGUGGCGAAGGCGGCUCUCUGGUCUGUAACUGACGCUGAGGCUCGAAAGCGUGGGGAGCAA